UGCCGGGGCCCUCUCGGGUGG
rnacentral:misc_RNA from 1 species